rnacentral:rRNA from 1 species
GAUGAACGCUAGCGGCAGGCUUAAUACAUGCAAGUCGUGGGGCAGCAGGACUGUAUCAAUACAGUUGCUGGCGACCGGCAAACGUGUGCGGAACACGUACGCAACUUACCCUGAACUGGGGGAUAGCCCGGGGAAACCCGCAUUAAUACCCCGUAAUAUAAUAGAGUGGCAUCACUUUAUUAUUAAAGCUCCGGCGGUUCGGUAUGGGCGUGCGGCUGAUUAGGUAGUUGGUUGAGGUAACGGCUCACCAAGCCUACGAUCAGUAACUGGUGUGAGAGCAGGACCCGUGACACGGGAACUGAGACCCAGGCCCGAACCCUACGGGAGGGAGCAGUAAGGAAGAUUGGGAACUGGAGGCAAAUCUGACCCAGCCACGCCGGGUGGAGGAGGAAGGCCAUCGGGGUUGUCAACUUCUUUUAUAGGGGACGAAACCUGUGUAUUCUUACGCAGUUGACGGUACCCUAGGAAUAAGCACCGGCUAACUACGUG